rnacentral:rRNA from 1 species
AGUGAACGCUGGCGGUAGGCCUAACACAUGCAAGUCGAACGACAGCACAGUAAGAGCUUGCUCUUACGGGUGGCGAGUGGCGGACGGGUGAGGCAUACAUCGGAAUCUACUUUUUCGUGGGGGAUAACGUAGGGAAACUUACGCUAAUACCGCAUACGACCUACGGGUGAAAGCAGGGGAUAUUCGGACCUUGCGCGAUUGAAUGAGCCGAUGUCGGAUUAGCUAGUUGGCGGGGUAAAGGCCCACCAAGGCGACGAUCCGUAGCUGGUCUGAGAGGAUGAUCAGCCACACUGGAACUGAGACACGGUCCAGACUCCUACGGGAGGCAGCAGUGGGGAAUAUUGGACAAUGGGCGCAAGCCUGAUCCAGCCAUACCGCGUGGGUGAAGAAGGCCUUCGGGUUGUAAAGCCCUUUUGUUGGGAAAGAAAAGCAGCAGGUUAAUACCCCGCUGUUCUGACGGUACCCAAAGAAUAAGCACCGGCUAACUUCGUG